CCUACGGGGGGCAGCAGUGAGGAAUAUUGGUCAAUGGACGAGAGUCUGAACCAGCCAAGUAGCGUGAAGGAUGACUGCCCUAUGGGUUGUAAACUUCUUUUAUAAAGGAAUAAAACGAGGCACGUGUGCCUGUUUGCAUGUACUUUAUGAAUAAGGAUCGGCUAACUCCGUGCCAGCAGCCGCGGUAAUACGGAGGAUCCGAGCGUUAUCCGGAUUUCUUGGGUUUAAAGGGUGCGUAGGUUGUUUUUUAAGUCAGCGGUGAAAGUUUGUGGCUCAACCAUCAAACUGCCGUUGAAACUGGAAGUCUUGAGUGUGAUUGAGGUAGGCGGAAUGCGUGGUGUAGCGGUGAAAUGCAUAGAUAUCGCGCAGAACUCCGAUUGCGAAGGCAGCUUACUAAGCCAUAACUGACACUGAAGCACGAAAGCGUGGGGAUCAAACAGGAUUAGAUACCCUUGUAGUC
rnacentral:rRNA from 1 species